rnacentral:rRNA from 1 species
GUGGGGAAUCUUAGACAAUGGGCGCAAGCCUGAUCUAGCCAUGCCGCGUGAGCGAUGAAGGCCUUAGGGUUGUAAAGCUCUUUCAGGGGGGAAGAUAAUGACGGUACCCCCAGAAGAAGCCCCGGCUAACUCCGUGCCAGCAGCCGCGGUAAUACGGAGGGGGCUAGCGUUGUCCGGAAUUACUGGGCGUAAAGCGCACGUAGGCGGACCAGAAAGUCAGGGGUGAAAUCCCGGGGCUCAACCCCGGAACUGCCUUUGAAACUCCUGGUCUUGAGGUCGAGAGAGGUGAGUGGAAUUCCGAGUGUAGAGGUGAAAUUCGUAGAUAUUCGGAGGAACACCAGUGGCGAAGGCGGCUCACUGGCUCGAUACUGACGCUGAGGUGCGAAAGCGUGGGGAGCAAACAGGAUUAGAAACCCUAGUAGUCC